GAUGAUUUGGCAGAUUAGUGCCCUAAAUUUAGAAUUUAGAUAAGUAUGACUAUAUAGUACAUUCAUUA
rnacentral:tRNA from 1 species